UGGUCACCGGUUCAAUCUGAAAAGC
rnacentral:piRNA from 1 species